CUCCCUGCUUCUGCAUGUGAACUUGAGCAAGCCAUUGAAACUUCCCAGGCUUCUGCAGCCUUAAUGUGUCAGGCAAGGUUAUCUGUGACCGCCCCUCCCAACCUCACACAUAGGGAUUGACAGGACAGAUGGGACCGAUAGGAGACCCAGUGAAUAGAAGCCCAAGUUGUCUCCCCCUGAGAUGCCCAGGUCAGAGGGCUCACACCGCCGCCCCCCCCCCCCCCCCCCCUCCAGCAGAGGGUCCAGCUGUAAGUAGCUUCUGGCUGUUUACCUUGGCAUCUGUUAGGCUCCUGUGGUUGGGGCAUGGGGGAGACACCAGAGAGGGGACACUGGAGAGGAUACAGUGGCAGAGUGGGUAGGGGAGGGGUAGAGGCUCUGGGUCAACACACUUGGUGGAUAUGGGGCAAAGCUGCCAUGAACACAGCCUCUUCCUCCUCUCCAGCCAGCUGCUGUGCUGACAACCAGGGGCAGAUCUGUUUGGGAAGCAGGAGGCAGAGGGGAGAGGGCAGGGUAGAGAGCAGUGCUACCAGCCAGAUAUCGUGAGGCCUGUGUCCUAGGAAAGGCAGGGAGGUCCUGGCUUGAGAUUUGGCCUUAACUCCCUCUGCUGAAUGCCUGGGAGCUCCUGAGAAUCGGGGAGAAGGGGUCUUGGAGACCUCAAAGUCAACUUCUUUAUUCCACAGUGAGGGAGAGCAGACCGGGAGAGGGAGAAGGUCAUGCUCAAGGUCUCAGAGCUUGUGGAUUGCAGAGCUGAGAGCUGAUCUAUUCACUGAGGGUUUUAGGCAUUUCUGAUCAUCUCCCAGAAGGGUCGCCCCCAGUCCUAACCAAUACAUGAAUAAGAUAGGGUGGCUCUGGCUGUGACUUCUGAUGGCAGGGGCCUUCAGUCCUUGACAUCCAGCCUAUUAGGCGGUAACUCUGUGCAGCAGAGGCAAAAGUAGAGUAGGUCUGGGCUCCGCCACUGGCUCCCUAUGUGACCUUGGCCAAAUCUUCUCCCUCCUCUGGGCCUGGUUUCCUCAUCAGGGGUAAGUAUUCCUGCCGUUUUGUGUUGACAGAUUCAGAGUCUAAAGUGGGACAUUCUCUUAUCUCAGAUAUCUGCAACUUGAUUACAGACUGGUUCUUAACCCAGCCUGAUGAGAGAUGAGAGAGAUUCUUAACCGUACCUGUAAAAUUUAGGAGGUCUGGGGUUCACUAACCCGCAUCAUUUUUCUGGGAACCCAGGCCGGCCCUGGAGACCACAGGGGCAGGCUGUCUGAGUGACGCGAGGCUGAGAGUGCCCACCCCUGUCCCAGAAGCAUGCAGGUCGGUGGAUCCCAGAGGUGAAAGGAGUUUAUGUUUACUGAGAGAUUUUUUUUUUUUUAAUGUUCCUUGUUCUCUGUAUGUGUUAUUUCAUUGAAAUGUCACCACCGCGUCAGUCACUACCACUGAGCUCAUUUUAUACAUGAGGAAACUGAGGCGUGGAUAAAGUAAGUACAUCCAGUGACACAGCAAGCAAGUGGUUCACGGGGCUCCAAAGCCUUGCACCACGCGGCUUCUCUACCCUCUGCUUCUGCUGGCCAGAGGGGGCGCUGCAGAGGCCUCGGGGCAAGGGCGCCCCCUGGCAACAAAGGGGGCUGCCUGUCCUGCCAGGGGCUCUGCCAACGCCUUUGCCAAGGCAGCUCUCAAGCCGCCCCCUCCUUUCAGAAGCCUCCUCGAAGCCCCCAGGGCGAGGGGUUCCUGACUGUACUUCCACAGCGCCUUGCCUGGGCCUCUCUUAUAGCCUCUCCUUGUGUUAGUAUGUUUAUGUUCUUGCAGUUUGUAGGAAACGAAGUCAUACUAGGGCUUCUCCCUCAUUACCCCGCAAAGCGCUCCGGGACAGGGACUGCGGCACGCAUCGCCCAUGGCACCUAGUAGAGGCCCUGCAAAGAGUGGUAGGUGAUCAGUGAAUAUCUGCGGCAUGAACACUUGAUAGUGACCCUUCUGAAGAUGGUCAAAAGUGAUUUCAUACACAUUAUCUGGUGGACCCAUCCAUUCGCACCGUGUGGGCUUCCCAGUAGCCUGCCUAGACUUCACUAGAGGUCGGGGUCAAAGACAAAGUAGAUGCCUGUCUGCACAGGGAGCUCCAAGUUGUGGGGAGGAGGUGGGGUGGCAAAGCCAAGAGCCUAAGAAAGGGACGAAACAAAAUAAGAACUGGAAACACUGACCACGGCAGGAGGCGCAGCUCAGCACGCGCUUGGGUGAAGCCCACAGGGGGCCCCCCAGCCCGGUGUUGGGGGGUUGUCAGGGAAGGCAGCAAGGGCUGGGGACACAGGGUGGGGCUUCGCGGCCAGGCAGGAGUGCGGCAGCCAGGGGAAGGGGGUGGGGGAGGCUGGGGGAGCCUCAGGGGAGCCCCUGGUGGGGGACUGGGCACAUUUAGUAGCUGAGUACGGCAGCUGCCUGGCGUGGAAAGGGAGUUUUGAGGACGUAGGUGGGAAGAAAGAACGGGAACGACACCUUUGACCUGAACCUGAAGUGCUUUGUGUUCCUCAAAUCCCUUCCGCAUCUAUGAUCUCAAAUUAGCUGACAAACAGCAGCGGCUGCACCCUGAGCGCUUCCCUGCACAGGGCUGCUCCUCGGGCGCCUGUGUGUGCCAUCUGCCUGACCUCCGGCCACAACCCUGAACGUAGGCGCUGUCACCACCUCCUCUGUGCAGAAGGGGACGCUGAGGCCCUGAGAGGGUGGGCUUCUCCAGGAGGGGAGGAGUAGGCCCUGUCAUUCUCACGCCGCAGUGGAGGACAGGACAGGUGUCUGGUCCUGGGACUGGAGCUCAGGCCUCUACAUUCCCAGCCCAGUGCUCUCCCCCAGAAGUUUCUCUGCCCCCUCAGAUCACGAUGUCUGGACUAAAGCCAACAGCCAGAUUGUGAGUGGACAUCAACUCAGGCCGCCCUGGUGUUUCUCCACCGAUGAGCUCCCGCCUCUGCCACUAAGGGGCCAGGACGUCACUGCCGACCGCAGCGACCUGGGCUUUGAGUCAGCCAGUGGUUCAAGGGCAGAAACCAUUCCCUCCCUCCUGGGCACACGCUGCCCAGGAGGUUCCACCGUAGGCACCAGGGCUUGCCGCUCAUUUCAGUUGGCAGAGUUAAUCCAGCGAACCCGAGUUCGUAACAGUCUCCAGUAUCCCUUCUGGUGCUUCCUGUCCCCUCCACACCCACCUGUCCUGGGGCUCUUGGUCACCAGGGAAGCAGGGGCCUGUCUGUUGGUCUCCUCCAGCAGGACGCAAACUCAGUAGUCCUGCCCUACCCGUGAGGUCCCCGCUUUCCUUCCGUCCUCAAAGUUCCCCGGGCUGUGGUCUGCAGCAUGAACGGUCUCCUCUGUCCUGCUUCUCCCUUUUUUGAACCUUCUCUAGUGACUUACUUCUGGGGAAGGAAUGUUCUUUGCAGCGACAGCUGCAGUUGUUCCAGACUGCAGCAACGUCCUCUUCUUUCGAAUCCUGGUUCCUGAAAUAUUUUUUGCUUUUCCUUCUCUUCCUUCCUUAAUUGCCUCUCUUGUUCUCCCUUCCUGGAAGGAGCUCAGAGCACAAUGGUGACAAUGCCCUUGGCCCCUGAGCCCACCACCUUCCCUGAAGCUACAACUAGCCAUUGGCCCUCUAGUCGGUUGCCCAGUCUGUGACCUACUUUGCCCCCUGCGUGCUCCUUUCUACCAUCUGGCUCUGUGAACCCUAAAGUCUUCCCCGGUGACCCCCAUUUGUCACCUCACAUGGUUCUGGAAUGAACGUAUGUUAUCUACUCCUCAUGCUCACAGAUCCUCAGCCACUGAGGCAGGGACCAGAGUAGAUAGGUAAUUGGUUCUCAGAGUAGUCUGGUUUGGAUCCUGGCCACUGCCCACAGCCAUACGACCUUGACUGAGACUUCACCAUAUUUCUUUGAGGUGUUGUGCAGAGAUCAUGUGAUCCAAAUUUUAAAUUACAUUAGUACUUAAACAAUAAGCUUCAACAAAUGGUAGCUAUUUAUUCACAGUAACAGCUUUUCAAACGAUUUCUGGGAUUGUAAAUUUGAAAGUGGUUGGAAAUUCCAAAAUGCUUCCCCUUCUCAACUGGAAACCCUAUGAGGGCAGGGACCUUGUCUUUUGUCCAUGAUGUCUGGUACUUGGUAGACCCUUAAUGUCCACACAGCAGUACCCCCCUUACCCGUGGUCUCACUUUCUGUGGUUACUUGUGGUCAACUGCAGUCGAAGUAGAUGAUCCUCCUUCCGACCUGUCAUCAGAAGGUCAGUAGCAGCCUAACGCUACGUCACAGUGCCUACGUCAUUCACCUCACUUCAUCUCAUCACGUAGACCAUGUCAAAUCAUCACAAGAAAGAUGAGUACAGUUCAGUAAGAGAUUUUGAGAGAGAGAAACCACAUUCACAAAACUUAUUACAGUAUAUUAUUAUCAUUGCUCGAUUUUGCUCAGUUAUUAUUAAUCUCUCACUGUGCCUAACUUAUAAAUUACUUUAUCAAGGCAUGUAUCUAUAGGAAAAAACAGGAUGGAUAGGGCUCGGUACUCUCUGAGGUUUCAGGCAUCGCCUGGGGGUCCUGGAACAUACUUCCCGUGGAUGAGGGGCAGGGGACUACUGUAUUUAUUUUUGGAUGAAUGAAUAAAUCUAUACUGUCUUCAAUUCUG